CCUACGGGAGGCAGCAGUGUGGAAUAUUGGUCAAUGGGCGGAAGCCUGAACCAGCCAAGUCGCGUGAGGGAUUAAGGCCCUGCGGGUCGUAAACCUCUUUUGCCGGGGAGCAGUGGUCCGGACGCGUCCGGACCGGGAGAGUACCCGGAGAAAAAGCAUCGGCUAACUCCGUGCCAGCAGCCGCGGUAAUACGGAGGAUGCGAGCGUUAUCCGGAUUUAUUGGGUUUAAAGGGUGCGUAGGCGGGCUUUUAAGUCAGCGGUAAAAAUUCGGGGCUCAACCCCGUCCGGCCGUUGAAACUGGGGGCCUUGAGUGGGCGAGAAGAAGGCGGAAUGCGUGGUGUAGCGGUGAAAUGCAUAGAUAUCACGCAGAACCCCGAUUGCGAAGGCAGCCUUCCGGCGCCCUACUGACGCUGAGGCACGAAAGUGCGGGGAUCGAACAGGAUUAGAUACCCGGGUAGUC
rnacentral:rRNA from 1 species